ACGGACAUAUUAUGUUGAAACACCGGUUGUCGUACGAUCACCGAAGUUAAGCAACGUCAAGUCUGGUUAGUACCUUGAUGGGUGACCAUCUGGGAAUAUCA